AUUAAAAUAAAACAGCAAAUUUGGCAUUUUAUUUCUAUUCCACUUGUCAAUUCUUUGUAAUAUAAAGCCAAAACAAAAACAAAAAAACCCUAAAAAUAAAGUCGAGGACUUAAAAAUCUUGAAGCCCAAAAUAACUUACUUAAAGGAAAAGGACAAUUCUUCCCCCUCAUUUAUUCCUAGGGGGCAAAAAAAAAAAAAAAAA